CGAGUUUGCAACUAUGCCUCGGGCUUGCAAUUGCCUGCUCGAUCCUCGAUUGCCAUGCUCUGCACUCUGCAGUCUUCCACGAGCACCGGUCGAGCGCGAGACAGUUACGUGCGUGAUGGUAGUGUGGUUUGUUUGUUGUUUUUUUUUUUUUUUGAGUGUUUGUGUGUUAUUACGGUAUUUGUCAUUUUUGGUUUGGAAAGAAAGAGAAUGAGUUCUGAUUUUACAGCACAAGAGCAAGGAAAGAGUAUUUAUGCGAUAUUUGCAAAAAACGUGACGGAUGGCGUGGUAGCGGAAGAGAGUGGCGAGGCAAAAGAGGGUGGCAAAUUGAAAAUAAUAGGACAACUUCAAGAGGCAGAGAGACAGAUACUUACAACAGAGGAGGGCUGCACGCCCGUGUUAUUAACUACAAAAUUAAUAAUAUCUAUAAGAAAUAACAGCAACGGCUUCAACUCCUGAAUCAGCACAAAAUCGAAUGUCAGGAAGCAUUGUCCGCAGUGACAACGGAGGAGGAACAAGCAGCAAUAAAGAACAUGGCAUUACAGAAGAAACACAAGGGCGAGCUGAAGGAAUUAUGGAUAUAAUAAAGUUGGUGUUGCAGCUGGAUCAGAAAGUAAACGGAUCAACAGAGCAUACUGGAAAAGGCAGGUGUUCCUGGGUUCUAUGUGACGAACAAUCCAACAGAAAUUCAAGUACAGAUGAGACUGUGAGAUUUUAUAAUAAGACUUAGUAAAAUGGACGUACCAAGUUAAUAUAGUAUUUCUCGCAUAAUUUAAGAGAUACUUUAUUAUAUUUGUAAUAAAAUUUAUAUAUUAUNAGAAAGUUUUUUUGUGUUAUUUUAUUGAUAUGAAUUUAUUAUAUGAAUUUCUCUGUUUGUUGUCGCAAAUAAUUGCAGUCUUUAGGUGAUAUUUUUUCUAGAAAGAAGAAACUCACAAGAUUUAUUAUAAACAAUUAUUAUUAUUAUAAAAUACUUUAUUUAAAUUAAGAUUAUUUUGUACAGUGCAUAUGUUACAUUAUCUUAUCAUAACACUUAAGUAAAAUGUAUGUAAUAGUGUUUUUCUGUACGCUUUAAGAACAAAUGUAUUUUUUGUUAAGUUACGGUUGGUCCA